GAUGAACGCUGGCGGCGUGCCUAAUACAUGCAAGUCGAGCGAACUGAUUAGAAGCUUGCUUCUAUGACGUUAGCGGCGGACGGGUGAGUAACACGUGAGCAACCUGCCUGUAAGACUGGGAUAACUUCGGGAAACCGAAGCUAAUACCGGAUAGGAUCUUCUCCUUCAUGGGAGAUGAUUGAAAGAUGGUUUCGGCUAUCACUUACAGAUGGGCCCGCGGUGCAUUAGCAAGUUGGUGAGGUAACGGCUCAACAAGGCAACGAUGCAUAGCCGACCUGAGAGGGUGAUCGGCCACACUGGGACUGAGACACGGCCCAGACUCCUACGGGAGGCAGCAGUAGGGAAUCUUCCGCAAUGGACGAAAGUCUGACGGAGCAACGCCGCGUGAGUGAUGAAGGCUUUCGGGUCGUAAAACUCUGUUGUUAGGGAAGAACAAGUACGAGAGUAACUGCUCGUACCUUGACGGUACCUAACCAGAAAGCCACGGCUAACUACGUGCCAGCCGCCGCCGUAAGAC
rnacentral:rRNA from 1 species